AGAUUCUACAUAGUGCGGAGGAGCAUCAUCACUCGUCGCAAGUCCCUUCAAGUGCCCCCGGUACCCUUUUCCUCCAUACCUCCCUCUUUCCCUCUGCCCCAAUUUCUGUAACCUCCUCUACUCCACCUGGAAAAUCCCGUGUCUCACACACUUCCUCUGGAUUCGCGAAUUCCUAGUUACUCGCUGCCGUUCUUUUGAGCUCGUUUUCUCGUCUCCUCGUGAUGUAUUGGGCUUGUUUCUGUGUAUAGUGGAUAUAUAUAUAUAUACAUAUAUAUAUAUACAUAUAGUUUUUUUUUGGUUUUGUUGUUACGGUCUCGGUCAGGAUGUCUCUCCGACCUAAUGCCCGCGUAGAGGUUCGUAAGAAGGGGUACAAGCUGGCAGUCGAUGCCGAUGAAGCUCGCAGGAAGAGAGAGGAUAACAUGGUGGAGAUUCGGAAGAGCAAGCGGGAGGAGAGCCUUUUGAAGAAGCGCAGGGAUGGUAUGCUUCAGCAGCAGCAGCGCAUUUCGUCCGUUACGAGUUCCAUUUCCGACAAGAAGCAACUCGAGAGUCUUCCAGGGAUGGUCGCUGGUUUACAUUCUGAUGAUCCUGCCAUUCAAUUGGAAGCAACCACACAAUUUCGCAAGCUUCUGUCUAUUGAGCGUAGCCCCCCUAUCGAAGAAGUAAUUUCAGCAGGUGUCGUACCUCGUUUCGUUGAAUUUCUAGUUCGAAGCGAUUUCCCACAGUUACAGUUUGAGGCAGCAUGGGCGUUGACUAACAUUGCAUCCGGAACAUCUGAUCACACUCGUGUUGUGAUUGAGCAUGGGGCUGUUCCUAUCUUUGUUCAGCUUCUGAGCUCUCCUAGUGACGAUGUUCGUGAGCAGGCAGUAUGGGCUUUGGGAAACGUCGCGGGUGAUUCGCCUAAAUGCCGUGACCUUGUUUUAAGUCACGGGGCCUUGAUGCCACUGCUUGCCCAGCUCACCGACAAUACGAAACUCUCUAUGCUCAGAAACGCCACGUGGACGCUCUCUAAUUUUUGCCGGGGCAAGCCGCAGCCACCAUUUGAGCAGUCCAAACCUGCGCUGCCCGCCUUGGAGCGUCUCAUCCAUUCCAACGACGAAGAGGUUCUCACGGAUGCGUGUUGGGCCCUUUCUUAUUUGUCCGAUGGCACAAACGACAAAAUCCAGGCUGUGAUUGAAGCUGGUGUCUGUCGUCGACUUGUGGAGCUGUUGCUCAGCCAUCCAUCACCCUCUGUUCUCAUUCCUGCACUGCGCACUGUCGGCAAUAUUGUUACUGGUGACGAUCUCCAGACGCAGUUCAUCAUCAACAAUCAGGCCCUCCCGUGUCUUCUCGCUCUUCUCACCAACAACCACAAGAAAAGCAUUAAAAAGGAAGCCUGCUGGACUAUCUCCAACAUCACUGCUGGAAACAAGGAUCAGAUUAUGGCUGUAAUCGACGCCAACAUUAUUCCACCUCUUGUUUCUCUGCUUGCUACUGCAGAGUUCGAUAUUAAGAAGGAGGCCGCUUGGGCCAUUUCAAACGCUACAUCUGGUGGUAGUCCCGAGCAGAUCAAGUACCUUGUCACCCAAGGUUGCAUCAAGCCACUAUGUGAUUUAUUGACCUGCCCAGACCCUAGAAUUGUUACAGUUUCUCUUGAAGGCCUGGAAAAUAUUUUGAAGGUUGGAGAGCAGGAGAAGGAUCUUGGUAACAGUGGUGGUAUCAAUCUCUACGCUCGCUACAUUGAUGAAGCUGAGGGCUUGGAGAAGAUCGAGAAUUUGCAGACUCACGACAACAACGAAAUCUACGAGAAGGCUGUGAAAAUUCUGGAGACUUACUGGCUAGAAGAGGACGAAGAUCAGAAUUUUGCACCUGGAACGGAGGGUCAAGGUUUCGCCUUUGGUACUAGCAGUGCCGCAGGAGCUCCGCCCGGUGGCUUUAACUUCGGCUGAAAGGAACUUAUAACAUGCGGAAAGAUUUGAACGACAGUCCGAAGCAUACGAUGGGGAUCCGCUGCUAUAAAGUCAGCCCGCUGAAUUUGCCUGGUCCAGGGACUUAUGAUCUCACUCACCACCACAAUUGUACAAAUAUUCGAGGUCCAUGCCACUCAAUGGGUGAGAAGAUUAUGUACUUCCCCGAUGGGGGAGUCCCAGGACCAGGAACAUAUGACUUGCGGGAUGAGAUUUCACUCCAAUCUGUUGGAAAAUGUAUCACUAUGGGAAGACGGUUUAGAAACGGAGCACCUUGCACUCUUGGUUCCAAGAUUCCAUGGUCUGCACCUGUCUCCGCCAGAUACAGCAUCUCUGACAAACCAGGUGUUUGCUUGUUCCAGCCCUCUUCACCCGGGCUUGAAACACACAGAUCUCGCUCUUCAGAAUUUGCUGGCCCCAUGUAUACGAUGGGCCAGAGGUUCUAUCGCCUUCGGAACAGAGUGGAGAGGAGACACAUGUGUUACUCUCCUCCCACCAAGUCCAAGCCCACUAAAAGCGCCAUCCAUGUUUGAAUCCAGGAAAUAAUCUCGUUCAACUCAUGUCGGAAGGUCACAAUGCUGUGUUGCAGUUCCGCCCAAAUCAGGGGCUGAUGCCACCACAUUCAGCCCCCGUAUGCUCAAGAAAUUUCUAGAACACUUCCCCCAAGUCGUCAAUGUGGAACCAACUCCUUCACCUCAAGUUGGAAUUCACCGCAAGUACAGCACACAUGUACAUUCACAACCUUCUAUUUCUGUUGCAACCCAAACUCCGUCAGCGCCACAAAAGGAGGCAAUUCCACCUGCUGCUCCUAAGUUGAAUGCAUGGAUGGAGGUCAGCAAAAACUUGCAAUUUGUUCGCACGAGGCUUUCUGCAGCAGCUAGAAUUUCGGAUCCUGAAUCUCCUCCAGAGUGAACCCAGCUUCACCUUCGGGGCUCACAUCACUGAAACUUAUCAUCCCUCCUCAUCAUCCUAACAGAAGGUUGAUCAAAUCGCAAGACCUUGUCAUGGUGUUUGUGCUCAACCAUGGAAAGGAUGAAUCCAGGCUCAGCCUCUGGGUGUCUGCUUUAACCCCUAGGACAAGUUAUAGGUAACUUGGACGAACUUGCCAUAGAGAGCAGAGCCAGGAUUCUGCAUCACAGAUUUAUUCAUGUGUCGAAGAGCUUCAGAAAUAUCACAUUCUCAAAGCUUCACGUUUGAGCAGGUGCACAUGGCAACUACACCUUACUCUGCAUGACUAGUUCUUUGGCUUAAGCUUUCAUAUAUAUAUAUAUAUAUAUAUAUAUGUAUACAUACAAUACAUUCAUGUGGGCCUAAAUGAUAUUUAAAUCAUUUGGUUGUCAAUAUGAAAAUCUUAAAGCCAUAGACCAUUGCAAAUCCAGUAUUAAAAUAUGCAUGUUAAGGAAAUUGUUAGGUGGAUGCAUUUUCAUUCCACACACCUAUGUAGACACACCCUUGUAAAAAAACUAAUUUUGAUUUCAAAUUAUGAUUCUUGUUAUAUUUA